rnacentral:tRNA from 2 species
GGACAUAUAGCUCAGCGGUAGAGCACUACGUUGACAUCGUAGGGGUCACAGGUUCAAUCCCUGUUAUGUCCACCA